rnacentral:rRNA from 1 species
UAGGGAAUAUUGGUCAAUGGACGCAAGUCUGAACCAGCCAUGCCGCGUGAAGGAUGAAGGUCCUCUGGAUUGUAAACUUCUUUUAUCUGGGACGAAAACGGGAUUUUUAUCUCAAUUGACGGUACCAGAGGAAUAAGCACCGGCUAACUCCGUGCCAGCAGCCGCGGUAAUACGGAGGGUGCGAGCGUUAUCCGGAUUUACUGGGUUUAAAGGGUGCGUAGGUGGGCUUAUAAGUCAGUGGUGAAAUCUCCGAGCUUAACUUGGAAACUGCCGUUGAUACUAUAGGUCUUGAAUUAUCUGGAGGUAAGCGGAAUAUGUCAUGUAGCGGUGAAAUGCUUAGAUAUGACAUAGAACACCAAUUGCGAAGGCAGCUUACUACAUAUAAAUUGACGCUGAGGCACGAAAGCGUGGGGAUCAAACA